GUAGCCGGCCUGAGAGGGUGACCGGCCCCACUGGGACUGAGACACGGCCCAGACUCCUACGGGAGGCAGCAGUGGGGAAUAUUGCACAAUGGGCGAAAGCCUGAUGCAGCGACGCCGCGUGAGGGAUGACGGCCUUCGGGUUGUAAACCUCUUUCAGUAGGGAAGAAGCGAAAGUGACGGUACCUGCAGAAGAAGCACCGGCUAACUACGUGCCAGCAGCCGCGGUAAUACGUAGGGUGCGAGCGUUAUCCGGAAUUAUUGGGCGUAAAGAGCUCGUAGGCGGUUUGUCGCGUCUGUCGUGAAAGUCCGGGGCUUAACCCCGGAUCUGCGGUGGGUACGGGCAGACUAGAGUGCAGUAGGGGAGACUGGAAUUCCUGGUGUAGCGGUGGAAUGCGCAGAUAUCAGGAGGAACACCGAUGGCGAAGGCAGGUCUCUGGGCUGUAACUGACGCUGAGGAGCGAAAGCAUGGGGAGCGAACAGGAUUAGAUACCCUGGUAGUCCAUGCCGUAAACGUUGGGCACUAGGUGUGGGGACCAUUCCACGGUUUCCGCGCCGCAGCUAACGCAUUAAGUGCCCCGCCUGGGGAGUACGGCCGCAAGGCUAAAACUCAAAGGAAUUGACGGGGGCCCGCACAAGCGGCGGAGCAUGCGGAUUAAUUCGAUGCAACGCGAAGAACCUUACCAAGGCUUGACAUGUUCUCGAUCGCCGUAGAGAUACGGUUUCCCCUUUGGGGCGGGAUCACAGGUGGUGCAUGGUUGUCGUCAGCUCGUGUCGUGAGAUGUUGGGUUAAGUCCCGCAACGAGCGCAACCCUCGUUCCAUGUUGCCAGCACGUAAUGGUGGGGACUCAUGGGAGACUGCCGGGGUCAACUCGGAGGAAGGUGGGGACGACGUCAAAUCAUCAUGCCCCUUAUGUCUUGGGCUUCACGCAUGCUACAAUGGCCGGUACAAUGGGUUGCGAUACUGUGAGGUGGAGCUAAUCCCAAAAAGCCGGUCUCAGUUCGGAUUGGGGUCUGCAACUCGACCCCAUGAAGUCGGAGUCGCUAGUAAUCGCAGAUCAGCAACGCUGCGGUGAAUACGUUCCCGGGCCUUGUACACACCGCCCGUCAAGUCACGAAAGUCGGUAACACCCGAAGCCGGUGGCC
rnacentral:rRNA from 1 species